ensembl:snRNA U6 U6 spliceosomal RNA
GCGCUGGCUUCAGCAGCACAUGUGCUAUAAUUGGAAAGAUACAGAGAUUAGCAUGAACCCUGCACAAGGAUGACGCGCAAAUUCGUGAAGCCUUCCACAUUCUU